UUGAUACUCCCUCCGUUCGAAAAUAUUUGGCAUCAAAAUGAUAAAAAGGAAUGUAUGUAGAACUAAAAUACAUAUAGAUGCAUCUUUUUUAUUCAUUUUCAUGACAAGUAUUUCCGGACGGAGACACUAUUGA
rfam:Triticum aestivum genome assembly, contig: Triticum_aestivum_CS42_TGACv1_scaffold_405950_5BL